CAAUUCCUUUAUGUGGUGGAGGUGAUGUGGAGGUGAACUUGAGUAUGUGAGCUACAUGUUACCUACCAAUUCCUUUAUGUGGUGGAGGUGAUGUGGAGGUGAACUUGAGUAUGUGAGCUACAUGUUACCUACCAAUUCCUUUAUGUGGUGGAGGUGAGCUGGAGGUGAUGUGGAGGUGAACUUGAGUAUGUGAGCUACAU